rnacentral:rRNA from 1 species
UACGUAGGGUGCAAGCGUUGUCCGGAAUUAUUGGGCGUAAAGAGCUCGUAGGCGGUUCGUCGCGUCGGCUGUGGAAAACCUGAGGCUCAACCUCAGGCCUGCAGUCGAUACGGGCGGACUUGAGUACUGCAGGGGAGACUGGAAUUCCUGGUGUAGCGGUGAAAUGCGCAGAUAUCAGGAGGAACACCGGUGGCGAAGGCGGGUCUCUGGGCAGUAACUGACGCUGAGCACGAAGGCCAGGGGAGCAAACGGG